rnacentral:misc_RNA from 1 species
AGAAUUCAUUAGAGCUUAAAAACGACGUAAUAUUAUUUUCAGAUAAUUCUUUUAGAAAAAAGGGUAACUUACCAACGGGUACUCUUGUUUAAUUUUUUUUAAGACAGCAAACAUGAGAAUUCAUUUGCAAACAAAUUGUUAUAAUGAAAUUCAUCUGCAAAUCAAAUGAAAUCCAUAUUCCUUUAUUGUAAUAGGGGGUAUUUGUUAAAUUUUUAUUAAUUAUGAUAACCAACUGUGCUUGCCUUCUAUUAGAUGACCCAAAAAAGCUCCUCCAAUGCUAUAAUAUUUAAUCAAUCUCACUUAGCACUACAAAUCUUUUUGUUUUUCUUAUCUUUGAAGGUGAAAAUUUCAUUUAUGAGUUGUUUGAUGCUGUUAUUCAUUGGCCAUAUUUGCUUAUGUCUUGGACUUAUGGUUAUAUAAAUAUCUUGCACCUUUAAGAAUCGUGGCUCUAUUUUUUGGAAUUUAUCUUUUAGCAUAGAUCGAAUAGUGCUUAAGUUUGUAUCCCCUUAUGGAUGUUUAUUUUUGGGUUCUUUCUUCCAGUGAUGAAGGAGUCCACUGGGGAAUACAAAAUGGCCUUUACCUUUCUAGAAGCACCAUUGUGUAUUUUAAACAUAAUGACAUGGAAUCACUACAAAACACGUUGGAGAAAAUAACUGCUGAGAAUAAGCGUGCUAAACAAUUGCGUCGCUACAUCAUUGUUGAAGCAAUAUACCAGGUAUUCUUUGUCAGUUAUGCAAAAUAAAUUUCUUCUUUCAAUUGUUUUCUCAUGUUUCACUAUUUAAUUGCACCAUUCUCUUUAGUCUUAAAGUUACAAUUUUCAAUUUUCAUUUACUAUAUAUUUCCAAUUUUGUUGAGAAUUUGCAGUUGUAAAAAUUGUUGGUUGGUGGUGGUCCUGGUUUCAUUUUGAUAAGCUCUGGUAUGAAAAUGCGAUUUGAACAUAAAAAUGAUAUCCGAUCAUGGUUCCAGCAAAGUGGGGCAUUGAGAGGGAGAAUCUGGAGAAAUGCUAUCAUUCAAGCUCAAACCUUUCAUAGUUAUGCCAAGCUAUGUAGUCUUUGAUGUCAGCAUAACAUUGUGAUGCUACUAUUAAGCAUUGUGAUAUUCCUUUUUUUUUUCUUUCAUUCUUUCUAGCAGCAGCUAAUUAGAAAAAUAAAAAAAGAAGGAACAAAACUAUUAGAAUCAAAACCUUACUAAACCCAAUAUUCAAAACCCAAAAUUCCCUAAUUCAUCUAUAACUCUCAUCCUACCCUAGAUUAUCGUACCAAACACUUCUAUAUGGAAGAAGGUUUUUUUUUUUUUUUUU